AAUUUUUGACAAUGGGGGAAACCCUGAUCCAGCCAUCCCGCGUGUAUGAUGAAGGCCUUCGGGUUGUAAAGUACUUUUGGCAGAGAAGAAAAGGUAUCUCCUAAUACGAGAUACUGCUGACGGUAUCUUCAGAAUAAGCACCGGCUAACGACGUGACAGCAGCCGCGGUAAUACGUAGGGUGAAAGCGUUAAUCGGAAUUACUGGGCGGAAAGCAUUUGUAGGCGGUUCGGAAAGAAAGAUGUGAAAUCCAAGGGCUCGACCUUGGAACUGCAUUUUUAACAGCCGAGCUAGAGUAUGUCAGAGGGGGGUAGAAUUCCACGUGUAGCAGUGAAAUGCGUAGAUAUGUGGAGGAAUACCGAUGGCGAAGGCAGCCCCCUGGGAUAGUACUGACGCUCAGACACGAAAGAGUGGGGAGCAAACA
rnacentral:rRNA from 1 species